rnacentral:rRNA from 1 species
UACGAAGGAUGCAAGCGUUAUCCGGAUUCACUGGGUUUAAAGGGUGUGCAGGUGGGGUAAUAAGUCAGUGGUGAAAGCCCCCGACUCAAUCGGGGAACUGCCAUAGAUACUGUUAUUCUUGAGUGUAGUUGAGGCAGAUGGAAUAUGACAUGUAGCGGUGAAAUUCGUAGAUAUUGGGAAGAACACCAGUGGCGAAGGCGGCUCACUGGUCCGGUACUGACGCUGAGGUGCGAAAGCGUGGGGAGCAAACAGG